rnacentral:rRNA from 1 species
UACGGGAGGCAGCAGUGGGGAAUAUUGCACAAUGGGCGCAAGCCUGAUGCAGCCAUGCCGCGUGUAUGAAGAAGGCCUUCGGGUUGUAAAGUACUUUCAGUCGUGAGGAAGGUGUUAAGGUUAAUAACCUUAGCAAUUGACGUUAGCGACAGAAGAAGCACCGGCUAACUCCGUGCCAGCAGCCGCGGUAAUACGGAGGGUGCGAGCGUUAAUCGGAAUUACUGGGCGUAAAGGGCACGCAGGCGGUUAAUUAAGUUGGAUGUGAAAUCCCCGGGCUUAACCUGGGAAUGGCAUUCAAGACUGGUUAGCUAGAGUCUUGUAGAGGGGGUAGAAUUCCAUGUGUAGCGGUGAAAUGCGUAGAGAUGUGGAGGAAUACCGGUGGCGAAGGCGGCCCCUGGGACAAAGACUGACGCUCAUGUGCGAAAGCGGUGGGGAGCAAACGAGGAUUAGACUACC